AUCUGUUCAGUGGUGGAAGGUAAUCAGCACAUCUGGUUCUCUAAGAAGAGAAUAGUUAAUGGUAGAGGACUUAAAGAACAUUCCAGGAUCCGCCCUUAUCGCCCUACAAACUCUACGCAACUCCUUGUCCAGACCAUGAUGACAUCCUGCAUGAACUACUGUGACUCUCUCCUAUCUGGCCUUCUAUCAAACUUUGCCAUCAAACUUCUCCAGCUGAUACAGAACGGUGCUGAAUGAGUCAUAUUUCACCUGCCAAAGCAAUCCUAUGUAUCACCCCUCCUCAUCACUCUGCUUUGGCUUCCUAUAGCCGCUUGGAUCAAACUCAACACUCUGGUUAAGACCUACAAAACCAUUGCCGCAGGUCCAGUUUCCAACCUUGACCCAGUGUAGUUUCCCGGGGACUUCCCUUCCACACGUGAUGGAGCGGUUUUCCGAAAAAGUGAACUGCCAGCAAAAAUCAUCGGCCGGAGGGCCUAUAAAAGAUGGGUGACUUCGACUCCACGAUCAGAACAGCACCUCCUCGGGACUGAACAGAACAAACCACCAGACAACA